rnacentral:misc_RNA from 1 species
GAUGAAGAACGUAGCGAAAUGCGAUAAGUAAUGUGAAUUGCAGAAUUCAGUGAAUCAUCGAAUCUUUGAACGCACAUUGCGCCCCCUGGUAUUCCGGGGGGCAUGCCUGUUCGAGCGUCAUUUCACCACUCAAGCCUCGCUUGGUAUUGGGCAACGCGGUCCGCCGCGUGCCUCAAAUCGACCGGCUGGGUCUUCUGUCCCCUAAGCGUUGUGGAAACUAUUCGCUAAAGGGUGUUCGGGAGGCUACGCCGUAAAACAACCCCAUUUCUAAGGUUGACCUCCGAUCAGGUAGGGAUACCCGCUGAACUUAAGCAUAUCAAUAAGCGGAGGA